rnacentral:lncRNA from 1 species
UCAAACUCUUAUUGCACAUAAUUUUCUAACAGCUCAACAAUUACCACAAGAAAAUUUUAUAGCACUUCUAGUACUCAGGCUCAGAUCUAUGACAAGAAAAAUGCCAUAUAAAGAGACAAUCUCCAGGUAGUAUCAUCCAAUCCCUUGACCAAAUAUAUAUGCUACAAGAGGAGGAGAGAAAAUUAAUCUAUGUAAUAUCCUUUGACGCAUAUGGUAACAAGCAGCAAGCAAUCCAUUAUAAAGCUAUCCCCCCUAAUAUCAACAAUGGUUGGAAGUCCAAUGAAUCACAACAGAUCUACCUU